rnacentral:rRNA from 1 species
UGGGGAAUAUUGGACAAUGGGCGAAAGCCUGAUCCAGCCAUGCCGCGUGAGUGAUGAAGGCCUUAGGGUCGUAAAGCUCUUUUGUGCGGGAAGAUAAUGACGGUACCGCAAGAAUAAGCCCCGGCUAACUUCGUGCCAGCAGCCGCGGUAAUACGAAGGGGGCUAGCGUUGCUCGGAAUCACUGGGCGUAAAGGGUGCGUAGGCGGGUUCUUAAGUUAGAGGUGAAAGCCUGGAGCUCAACUCCAGAACUGCCUUUAAUACUGGGAAUCUUGAGUUCGGAAGAGGUGAGUGGAACUGCGAGUGUAGAGGUGAAAUUCGUAGAUAUUCGCAAGAACACCAGUGGCGAAGGCGGCUCACUGGUCCGAUACUGACGCUGAGGCACGAAAGCGUGGGGAGCAAACAGGAUUAGAUACCCCUGUAGUCC